UUACAAUAUUGGUAAAUGAAAAAACAAUACAAUAUUUAAAAAUAAAAAUAAUUUUAACCAACAUACUGUAAACUUAUCAGGAUUUCAGUGGGAAGUGUGGGCCUGCUUCUGGCCAAUGAGAUCAUCAAGUAGGAUUGUUGUUGUUGUGCCUUCAAGUCAUUUAGACUUUGGGCGAGCCUAAGUAUAAAACUGAGGGCGGGGGCCAGGUCAAUGGCCUUGGAGGGCCGCAUCUGGCCCCCGGGCCUUAGUUUGGGGACCCCUGCACUAAUGGAUAUUCACAGAGUGGCUGUACCGUUGUUAUACCUUAACUUAUCCUUGUCCCCCAAACCCCUCACCCGUAAACCCAACCCCCUAGGCCUCCGAUACCCCUCAGUAAUUAUCACGUAACUAACCAUCAACUACCUAUGUAUCUUCUUUUGCUAAAUCCCCUUUAUGGUAGUCAUCAAAUCUACCUUUGUCCAAUUUUGGACUAUUUCAUCAUAGUCCGGCCCCCUAACGGUCUGAGGGACUGUGAAUCGGCCCUCCACUUAAAAAGUUUUGAGGACCCCUGGCCUAGGCAUUUGCAAUACUCACUUCCGCCACUAGAUGGGAGACUUCCCAAAGCAAAGUAUAGGCUAAGCUUUGCAAUAACACCUUCAGCCACUCAGUGGCAGGUUUUUUUUUAGCCAAAGGGAAGGCUGGGUAUUUGCAAUGCUCCUUUCCUCACAGUGUUCCAUUCUGAGCCCAUUUUUGCUGGAAAUCAAUCAGCAUGGCCUCCUCAGAGGCAUGGUUGCUGCAGUGCCGUUCCAGGCAUGGUAACACGCAGCUCCCAUUGAUGGCCCUCUUCUUGGCCUGCGGAAGCGAUUGGCGAGGGCCAGCCCCUCCCUGUGGGCCCUCGGUGCUUGCAGGGAAUGAGCCCACUCCCCACUGCCUUCCGAAGCUGCCCGGGGGGAGGGGGGGCUUCUGGUCCCUGGAGAUGGAGGGAGUGGAGGGGGUUCCCUUGGAGAAUUGAUGGAGGGUCCCUUGGCCUCUGACUGGGGGGGGGGGUGUCCUGGACUGACCCCUCUUUCCUUUCUUCCUUCUCCCAGAGCCAAACACGGAGAGCCCGCUCAACACAGAGGCUGCAGAGCUCUGGAAGAACCAGCCAGCUUACAAGAAACGCCUCCACGAAUCGUACGCAAAGCAUACGAAGAGCCAGGAAAGUUGAUGAGCCCCCUCCCCUCCCCCCCCUUUCAGAGGGGUGGGUCUUCCCUAAUCCUCCUCCCCCCGCAUUCUUGUAUCAUAGACUGUUUUUAAAUUUAUUUUGUGUUUUCUCCCUCCUUUUAAUGUAUGAAUAAACCCAUUUUAAGUGUCCGCGUUUCUGUUCUGUGCUUGUUGGGUUUGUUGGGGGCCAGGACCACCCCUCCCCUCCUCAGACCCCCAAAUGGAGCAGAGGGUGGUGAAGGUGGUCCUGAUCCUGCUUUCAUCUCUUGGCCGAGACUCAAAAGGAUUCCUAGGAUUCGCAGCAAAAGGCCAUUGAAGCUGUUCUGCGUCCUAACAACACUCACCGAGUUUUGGGUCAUUUAGAUUGAAUUAAAUUACCAUAUAUACUCAAAGAUAAGCCAAGUUUUUCAGCCCUUUUUAUGAGCUGAAAAAGCCUUUCCCGGUUUAUAAUUGGGUCAAGGUCAAGCCAGCAGUGGAGCCUGGAGACUAUUGCUUGCAAUAUAUGAAAGAUUUCUCUCUCAUCUUACCCUCCCUUAUCAGUGUUUACUUUUCCAAAGCCUCCCUCGCUCUUAACUAAAGGAAUGUUUUGAAAAGGGAAAUAUGCCCUUGCAAGUCAGGAAGAAGAAAAAUAUAAAUCCAUUAAUCUUAUAAAAACAUUUUCCCC
rnacentral:lncRNA from 11 species